rnacentral:rRNA from 1 species
GACGAACGCUGGCGGCGUGCUUAACACAUGCCAGUCGAACGGAAAGGCCUCUUUCGGGGGGUACUCGAGUGGCGAACGGGUGAGUAACACGUGAGUAACCUGCCCUUGACUUUGGGAUAACUUCAGGAAACUGGGGCUAAUACCGGAUAGGAGCUCCUGCUGCAUGGUGGGGGUUGGAAAGUUUCGGCGGUUGGGGAUGGACUCGCGGCUUAUCAGCUUGUUGGUGGGGUAGUGGCUUACCAAGGCUUUGACGGGUAGCCGGCCUGAGAGGGUGACCGGCCACAUUGGGACUGAGAUACGGCCCAGACUCCUACGGGAGGCAGCAGUGGGGAAUAUUGCACAAUGGGUGGAAGCCUGAUGCAGCAACGCCGUGUGCGGGAUGACGGCCUUCGGGUUGGAAACCGCUUUCGCUCAUGACGAAGCUUUGCGUGACGGUAGUGGGUAAAGAAGCACCGGCUAACUACGUG